rnacentral:rRNA from 1 species
AACGAACGCUGGCGGCAGGCUUAACACAUGCAAGUCGAACGGGUGCAGCAAUGCAUCAGUGGCAGACGGGUGAGUAACACGUGGGAACCUUCCUAGGGGUACGGAACAACUCAGGGAAACUUGAGCUAAUACCGUAUACGUCCGUGAGGAGAAAGAUUUAUCGCCCUUAGACGGGCCCGCGUCAGAUUAGCUAGUUGGUGGGGUAACGGCCUACCAAGGCGACGAUCCGUAGCUGAUCUUAGAGGAUGAUCAGCCACACUGGGACUGAGACACGGCCCAGACUCCUGCGGGAGGCAGCAGUGGGGAAUCUUGGACAAUGGGCGCAAGCCUGAUCCAGCCAUGCCGCGUGAGUGAAGAAGGUCUUCGGAUUGUAAAGCUCUUUUGCCAGGGACGAUAAUGACGGUACCUGGAGAAUAAGCCCCGGCAAACUUCGUGCCAGCAGCCGCCGUAAUAC